GACGAACGCUGGCGGCGUGCUUAACACAUGCAAGUCGAACGGUAAGGCCCUUCGGGGUACACGAGUGGCGAACGAGCGAGUAACACGUUGGAACCUACCCCGAACUCAGGGAUAACACCUAGAAAUAGGUGCUAAUACCGGAUAGUCCCGAAAGAGUAAAGCUACGGCGGUUUGGGAGGGGCCUGCGGCCUAUCAGUUAGUUGGCGAGGUAACGGCUCACCAAGACUAUGACGGGUAACUGGUCUGGGAGGACGACCAGUCGCGAUGGGACUGAGAUACGGCCCAUACUCCUACGGGAGGCAGCAGUAAGGAAUCUUCCGCAAUGGACGAAAGUCUGACGGAGCAAUGCCGCGUGAGGGAAGACGGCCUUAGGGUUGUAAACCUCUUUCAGCAGGGACGAACACAGACGGUACCUGCAGAAGAAGCCCCGGCUAACUACGUGCCAGCAGCCGCGGUAA
rnacentral:rRNA from 1 species